rnacentral:rRNA from 1 species
AACGAACGCUGGCGGCAUGCCUAACACAUGCAAGUCGAACGAGACCUUCGGGUCUAGUGGCGCACGGGUGCGUAACGCGUGGGAACCUGCCCUUAGGUUCGGAAUAACUCCCCGAAAGGGGUGCUAAUACCGGAUAAUGUCUUCGGACCAAAGAUUUAUCGCCUUUGGAUGGGCCCGCGUUGGAUUAGCUAGUUGGUAGGGUAAAAGCCUACCAAGGCGACGAUCCAUAGCUGGUCUGAGAGGAUGAUCAGCCACACUGGGACUGAGACACGGCCCAGACUCCUACGGGAGGGCGCAGUGGGGAAUUUGGGAAAGUGGGCGAAAGCCUAAUCCAGCAAUGCCGGGGGGGUGAAGAAGGCCUUAGGGUUUUAAAGCUCUUUUACCCGGGAUGAUAAUGACAGUCCCGGGAGAAUAAGCCCCGGCUAACUCCGU